rnacentral:rRNA from 1 species
AAGAGAUUUGGCCGUGCUCGCGAGAGAACCGGAACACAGGUGCUGCAUGGCUGUCGUCAGCUCGUGUCGUGAGAUGUUGGGUUAAGUCCCGCAACGAGCGCAACCCUUGUCAUUAGUUGCUACGCAAGAGCACUCUAAUGAGACUGCCGGUGACAAACCGGAGGAAGGUGGGGAUGACGUCAAGUCCUCAUGGCCCUUAUGGGUAGGGCUUCACACGUCAUACAAUGGUCGGGACAGAGGGUCGCCAACCCGCGAGGGGGAGCCAAUCUCAGAAACCCGAUCGUAGUCCGGAUCGCAGUCUGCAACUCGACUGCGUGAAGUCGGAAUCGCUAGUAAUCGCGGAUCAGAAUGUCGCGGUGAAUACGUUCCCGGGUCUUGUACACACCGCCCGUCACACCAUGGGAGUGGGUUUCACCAGAAGUAGGUAGCCUAACCGCAAGGGGGGCGCUUACCACGGUGGGAUUCAUGACUGGGGUGAAGUCGUAACAAGGUAGCCGUAG